rnacentral:rRNA from 1 species
UACGGAGGGCUGCAAGCGUUGUCCGGAUUUAUUGGGCGUAAAGAGCUCGUAGGCGGCUUGUCGCGUCGUCCGUGAAAACCCACAGCUCAACUGUGGGCUUGCGGUCGAUACGGGCAGGCUAGAGUUCGGUAGGGGGAGACUGGAAUUCCUGGUGUAGCGGUGAAAUGCGCAGAUAUCAGGAGGAACACCGGUGGCGAAGGCGGCUAUCUGGGACAGUGACUGACGGCUGAGACGCGAAAGCGUGGGGGAGCAAACAGG